AGUCCCGUGGCGCAGUGGUCAAUGCGUCUGGAGAUUUUUGCGACAGCAAUAGGUCGUGGGUUCGAAUCCCGCCGGAGCCA